GCGAACGUGUGUGUUUAUAAAAUUAUUAAACGCACAAAUCGUUAAUAUUUGCCAUAUUGGGUAUGUAAAAUGCAAACAUUCUGAAAAAAGAUUGAUUUGACAAACACUUCUCUUCACUCUGAUUUUGAUGGGAAGCAAGACACAUGGCUAACAACGGCGGAAAAAAUACAUAUUUGCUUAACGAUUUGGAUUCGGAUUCGUCUGUCGAAGACGAAGAUACUGAAGGCGACCCAAAUGAAGCAGUACAUUUAUUCCAGACAGCUUCAACUGCUCAUGAUCUCCCGCUGUACUCGCCUUGUGAUCAACCAAAUUCCAAGUCUGCAGCCCACAAAACCCGCUGUCCCCCCGCAAGCGCAACCCUCGCCGACCAAGCCAACACCGACCCGCCCACUCACCAGAUCCCGCCCCCGAGCCUCCCACCACCGAAGCAACCGAGACAAGCUAUCCC